GGGAGGCGGCCGCGAAGCGUGUCUUACUGGUUCCUCAGGUUUGAAAAAAAAUUAAAUAAAAAAUUAAAGCUGUAAUUGCGCGCAGAGCUCUGGGAAGAAUUGGCUCGGUUUGCUCUGAGUGUUGAUGUUGUAGCACUCGGUGUCACGCUGUUACUUUCGGCGCUGCCGCCGUGACUCCUCACCUACAGCCGUCGGAGUUGGGCCGUGUUAGUAAGGUUGCGCUGCAUGCGACUGAAUGCAAUGGCUGGCGCUGUGCGCAUUAAAAACGAAGAUACGGCACAAUUGAUGCGGGAAACAAGAACCAGAGGCGGUGCCACACCUGUACAGGCCGAUACGUGUGACAGGUCUUGGACCAGAAGACGCUGUGAUCUACAAUGAAUCUUGAAUGUAUUUUUUCCCCUGCGCUGGUAAAGCCUCACCUUGAAUCCUGUGCCAGUUGUGGGCCCCUCACAGCAAGAAAGGCAUUGAGGUGCUGGAGUGUGUCCAGAGAAGGGGAAUGGUCUAGAGAGUAACUCCCUCAGGGGCAGCUGAGGGAGUUGAGGUCGUUUAGCCUGGAAAAAAGGAGACUCAGGGGAGACCUUAUUGUUCUCCACAACUACCUGAAAAGAGGCUGUAGUAAGAUGGGGGUCAUCCUCUUUUCCCAUGCAACUGGCAGCAGGACAAGAGGAGAUGGCCUCAAGUUCCACCAGGAGUGGUUCAGGUUGGACAUCAGGAAGAAUUUCUUCAUGGAAAGGGUUGCUGACCAUUGGAAUGGACUGGCCAGGGAAGGUGGUGGAGUCACCAGUGCUGGAGGUGUUUAAGAAGCGACUGAACUUUGUGCCAUGGUCUAGUUGACAAGGUGGUGGUUGGUUACAGCUUGGACUCAGUGAUCUUAGAGGUCUUUUCCAACCUAAUUGAGUCUGUGAUUUAUCUGAUUAAAACAGCAUUUCUUACUUAUUUUUUAUUCUUUCUUAAUGUCUGGACCUGACAAAGAGAGGACUCUUGGGGAAUAGAAUGCCAGAUUCUGCAUUCUGUUUCUGCAGUUUCCUUUCACAUGCUGUUCAGAGAUUCAUGGCAGCGAACUUCUCAAAGCCAUGAAGUGGAGACUUAUAUCUCUUCUUUUCAAGAACUUUGGAACCUUUUGCAUUUCAUGUGUGGUUUUUCUUACGCUCUGGGAAGUCUUUUCUGACUGGUGUGAGAUACAUCUACACCAGCACAAAGCCUGGAUGUGUUUUGGGAGAUAAACAUGGACUCAGAUCCUUAAUGUUUCAACUUCUACUCUUGCAAUAAACUUAGGAGAGUAUACAGUUUCUCUUAAAAAUAAAAUCAUAGCAACAGCCUCAUGACAAAUCACAGAAGUUUCCAGUCACUUUGUUUUGUAAUACAGAAGGACUUUGGUAUUCCUGUCUGUAGACACCACCUAAACACAGCUAUAGGUGAGGGCUGUACUAUAAACACUCUUUCCUGGUUUAUGACUGCUGUGAACGCAUUUUUCUGGUUGAAAUGCAGUGCAGAAGCUUGUGCUCUUUCUCUGCUACCUAGAGUAAUUGUAUUCUGAUCCACACUUUCCAAAAUCCACUUGACACUAACAAACCCUUCUUUUUAAAAAUUCAAACCACACAUUCAAACUAUGAAAACAUUUCAGAAGCUGGAAAACAAAUUUACAAAGGGAGAAAGUUGGACUUAGUAUGCUAGCUGAACAGAGUAACUCCAGCCACGUCACAUUCUGCGUCCCCUCAUGUGUGGCGUGUUAAGUAGAAUAACCCUUUGUAUAUCACAUCAAGAAGUUUUUGUUUUCACAACCAACCAAACCCCCUGCAUACAGUAAGGGCCAUACACCAGCUACUUAUA